rnacentral:rRNA from 1 species
UUCCGGUUGAUCCUGCCGGACCUGACUGCUAUCGGAUUGAUACUAAGCCAUGCGAGUCUUUGUAGUAAUACAAGGCAUACGGCUCAGUAACACGUAGUCAACCUACCCUAUGGACGAGAAUAAUCUCGGGAAACUGAGCAUAAUUCUUGAUAGAUCAUAAUGCCUGGAAUGGUUUAUGGUUAAAAUGAUUCGUCGCCAUAGGAUGGGACUGCGGCCUAUCAGCUUGUUGGUGAGGUAAUGGCCCACCAAGGCGAUUACAGGUACGGGCUCUGAGAGGAGAAGCCCGGAGAUGGGUACUGAGACACGGACCCAGGCCCUAUGGGGCGCAGCAGGCGAGAAAACUUUGCAAUGUGCGAAAGCACGACAAGGUUAAUCCGAGUGAUUUCUGCUAAAGAAAUCUUUUGCCAGUCGUAAAACCGCUGGUGAAUAAGGGGUGGGCAAGUUCUGGUGUCAGCCGCCGCGGUAAAACCAGCACCUCAAGUGGUCAGGAUGAUUAUUGGGCCUAAAGCAUCCGUAGCCUGCUUUGUAAGUUUUCGGUUAAAUCCAUGUGCUCAACGCAUGGGCUGCCGAAAAUACUGCAUAGCUAGGGAGUGGGAGAGGUAGACGGUACUCAGUAGGUAGGGGUAAAAUCCUUUGAUCUAUUGAUGACCACCUGUGGCGAAGGCGGUCUACCAGAACACGUUCGACGGUGAGGGAUGAAAGCUGGGGGAGCAAACCGGAUUAGAUACCCGGGUAGUCCCAGCUGUAAACGAUGCAGACUAGAUGAUGCAUUGGCAUAAUAGCCAUUGCAGUGUCUCAGGGAAGCCGUUAAGUCUGCCGCCUGGGAAGUACGUACGCAAGUAUGAAACUUAAAGGAAUUGGCGGGGGAGCACCACAAGGGGUGAAGCCUGCGGUUCAAUUGGAAUCAACGCCGGA